rnacentral:rRNA from 1 species
UUUAUGGAGAGUUUGAUCCUGGCUCAGAGUGAACGCUGGCGGCGUGCCUAAUACAUGCAAGUCGAACGAUGAAGCUUCUAGCUUGCUAGAAUGCUGAUUAGUGGCGCACGGGUGAGUAACGCAUAGGUCAUGUGCCUCUUAGUUUGGGAUAGCCAUUGGAAACGAUGAUUAAUACCAGAUACUCCCUACGGGGGAAAGAUUUAUCGCUAAGAGAUCAGCCUAUGUCCUAUCAGCUUGUUGGUAAGGUAAUGGCUUACCAAGGCUAUGACGGGUAUCCGGCCUGAGAGGGUGAACGGACACACUGGAACUGAGACACGGUCCAGACUCCUACGGGAGGCAGCAGUAGGGAAUAUUGCUCAAUGGGGGAAACCCUGAAGCAGCAACGCCGCGUGGAGGAUGAAGGUUUUAGGAUUGUAAACUCCUUUUGUUAGAGAAGAUAAUGACGGUAUCUAACGAAUAAGCACCGGCUAACUCCGUGCCAGCAGCCGCGGUAAUACGGAGGGUGCAAGCGUUACUCGGAAUCACUGGGCGUAAAGAGCGCGUAGGCGGGAUAGUCAGUCAGGUGUGAAAUCCUAUGGCUUAACCAUAGAACUGCAUUUGAAACUACUAUUCUAGAGUGUGGGAGAGGUAGGUGGAAUUCUUGGUGUAGGGGUAAAAUCCGUAGAGAUCAAGAGGAAUACUCAUUGCGAAGGCGACCUGCUGGAACAUUACUGACGCUGAUUGCGCGAAAGCGUGGGGAGCAAACAGGAUUAGAUACCCUGGUAGUCCACGCCCUAAACGAUGGAUGCUAGUUGUUGGAGGGCUUAGUCUCUCCAGUAAUGCAGCUAACGCAUUAAGCAUCCCGCCUGGGGAGUACGGUCGCAAGAUUAAAACUCAAAGGAAUAGACGGGGACCCGCACAAGCGGUGGAGCAUGUGGUUUAAUUCGAAGAUACACGAAGAACCUUACCUAGGCUUGACAUUGAGAGAAUCCGCUAGAAAUAGUGGAGUGUCUGGCUUGCCAGACCUUGAAAACAGGUGCUGCACGGCUGUCGUCAGCUCGUGUCGUGAGAUGUUGGGUUAAGUCCCGCAACGAGCGCAACCCCCUUUCUUAGUUGCUAACAGGUCAUGCUGAGAACUCUAAGGAUACUGCCUCCGUAAGGAGGAGGAAGGUGGGGACGACGUCAAGUCAUCAUGGCCCUUACGCCUAGGGCUACACACGUGCUACAAUGGGGUGCACAAAGAGAAGCAAUACUGCGAAGUGGAGCCAAUCUUCAAAACACCUCUCAGUUCGGAUUGUAGGCUGCAACUCGCCUGCAUGAAGCUGGAAUCGCUAGUAAUCGCAAAUCAGCCAUGUUGCGGUGAAUACGUUCCCGGGUCUUGUACUCACCGCCCGUCACACCAUGGGAGUUGUGUUUGCCUUAAGUCAGGAUGCUAAAUUAGCUACUGCCCACGGCACACACAGCGACUGGGGUGAAGUCGUAACAAGGUAACCGUAGGUGAACCUGCGGUUGGAUCACCUCCUUUCUAGA